rnacentral:rRNA from 1 species
UUAAAUUGAGAGUUUGAUCCUGGCUCAGGAUGAACGCUGGCGGCGUGCUUAACACAUGCAAGUCGAGCGAUGAAGUUUCCUUCGGGGAACGGAUUAGCGGCGGACGGGUGAGUAACACGUGGGUAACCUGCCUCAUAGAGUGGAAUAGCCUUCCGAAAGGAAGAUUAAUACCGCAUAAUGUUGAAAGAUGGCAUCAUCAUUCAACCAAAGGAGCAAUCCGCUAUGAGAUGGACCCGCGGCGCAUUAGCUAGUUGGUGGGGUAACGGCCUACCAAGGCGACGAUGCGUAGCCGACCUGAGAGGGUGAUCGGCCACAUUGGGACUGAGACACGGCCCAGACUCCUACGGGAGGCAGCAGUGGGGAAUAUUGCACAAUGGGGGAAACCCUGAUGCAGCAACGCCGCGUGAGUGAUGAAGGUUUUCGGAUCGUAAAGCUCUGUCUUUGGGGAAGAUAAUGACGGUA